AGGCCUUGACAUGCAGAGAACUUUCCAGAGAUGGAUUGGUGCCUUCGGGAACGUCUGACACAGGUGCUGCAUGGCUGUCGUCAGCUCGUGUCGUGAGAGUGUUGGGUUAAGUCCCGUAACGAGCGCAACCCUUGUCCUUAGUUACCAGCACGUUAUGGUGGGCACUCUAAGGAAGACUGCCGGUGACAAACCGGAGGAAGGUGGGGAUGACGUCAAGUCAUCAUGGCCCUUACGGCCUGGGCUACACACGUGCUACAAUGGUCGGUACAAAGGGUUGCCAAGCCGCGAGGUGGAGCUAAUCCCAUAAAACCGAUCGUAGUCCGGAUCGCAGUCUGCAACUCGACUGCGUGAAGUCGGAAUCGCUAGUAAUCGUGAAUCAGAAUGUCACGGUGAAUACGUUCCCGGGCCUU
rnacentral:rRNA from 1 species